UAUCUCUGUAGAGUCUGCAUAUCAAUAAGCGGAGGAAAAGAAACUAACUAGGAUUCCCUCAGCAACGGCGAGUGAAGCGGGAAGAGCUCAAAUUUGAAAUCUUCAAGGUUUUACCUUGACGAAUUGUAGUUUAAAGAAGUGUUUUCUGUUGGAGUUUUGGUAAAAGUUCUUUGGAAUAGGACAUCGUAGAGGGUGAGAAUCCCGUAUUUGACCAUUAUUUCCAGCUUUGUGAUACACUUUCAAAGAGUCGGAUUGUUUGGGAAUGCAGUCCAAAAUGGGUGGUAAAUUUCAUCUAAAGCUAAAUACUGGCGAGAGACCGAUAGCGAACAAGUACCGUGAGGGAAAGAUGAAAAGAACUUUGAAAAGAGAGUUAAACAGUACGUGAAAUUGUCAAAAGGGAAGCGUUUGACACCAGUGUUGUUUUCUCGAAAAUCAAUUAAAAAGUGUUGGAUUUUGUAUUGUUAAGACCUUAUCAGCUUACUGUACUCUUUUCCUGCUCUUUUUAAUGCACUUUUCGUUUAACAAGUCAACAUCAAUUUCUUUUGUUGUAAAAGAGUCAUUGGAAGGUGGCUUUCUUUUCGGAGAAAGUGUUUAUAGCCUUUGACUCCUGCAAUCGGAGAGACUGAGGUCUGCAGCGUAGAUCCUUCGGGGUUAGAUACAUUUGUGCUAAGUUAUAGCCUUUCAUAGACAACUUGUUGACUAUGAUUCAGUCAUGUAGGCUUACUCGCUAUGCGCUAUUUUACCUACGCUUAGGAUGUUGAGUCAUCACACAUCUCU
rnacentral:rRNA from 1 species